CGGCUCCUAGCGGUAACCCCCGGGAACUGGGGAUAAUACCUGAUAGGCUAUGGUUCCUGGAAUGGUCUAUGGCUCAAAUGCGUUAGCGCUUGAGGAUGGGUCUGCGUCUGAUUAGGUUGUUGCCGGUGUAACGUACCGGCAAGCCGAUAAUCAGUACGGGCUGUGAGAGCAGAAGCCCGGAGAUGGAUUCUGAGACAUGAAUCCAGGCCCUACGGGGCGCAGCAGGCGCGAAACCUUCACACUGCGCGCAAGCGCGAUGAGGGGACCUCGAGUGUCGGUGCCAAGCAUCGACUGUCCCACUGCCUAAACAGCAGAGGUUAGCAAGGGCCGGGCAAGACCGGUGCCAGCCGCCGCGGUAACACCGGCGGCUCGAGUGGUGAUCACUAUUAUUGAGCUUAAAGGGUCCGUAGCCGGUCUGGUAACUCUUUUGGGAAAUCUGGCGGCUUAACCGUCAGGCGUCCGGGAGAAACUGCCAGACUUGGGAGCGGGGGAGGUUGGAGGUACUCCAGGGGUAGAGGUGAAAUUCUGUAAUCCUUGGGGGACCACCAGUGGCGAAGGCGUCCAACCAAAACGCGUCCGACGGUGAGGGACGAAAGCCAGGGGCACGAACCGGAUUAGAUACCCGGGUAGUCCUGGCCGUAAACGAUGCGGGCUAGGUGUCACAAUGGCUACGAGCCACUGUGGUGCCGUAGAGAAAUCGUGAAGCCUGCCGCUUGGGAAGUACGGCCGCAAGGCUGAAACUUGAAGGAAUUGGCGGGGGAGCAC
rnacentral:rRNA from 1 species